UCAACAGGGAAAAUUCAGCAGAUCAUGGCCAGGGGAAGAUUUAGCAGAUCACGACCACUAUACCCACGAUGCCAUUCCUGAAGUCAUGAUCUCUCGCCUCCACGAUGCCCGUCAUUUCUGGAGGCCGGGACACAAGACCUUUUUUGGCUUUAUAAAAGCCAGAGAAAGGCCUCAGCAGGGAGGGGGGGGGGGGAGCACAAAGGAGGAAAAACAAAACAAAGAAAAAAGCACAAAUUCACAGACGAGCGGGAGAAGCAGGGAGUGAGAACCAGAGAAAAAAACGGAGAGGCAGAGCACGAACCGAAACAAACACAGGGGGGACGAGCUGGAGGACAUACAGAGAGAGAGUCAAGAGAACAGAGAGAACAGAACACAGCAAGGGGAACAGAAACAGAACAACAGAAAAAGAAAGAGCAACGAGCAGGAAGGAAGCUUGAAGACAGGAGCUUCGCCCAGCGUCUGCCGAUUCGUGCAAAGUCUCUGCAAAACCAGACAAAAAGAUAAGGAUUGUCACCAAGUCAAGAUAUGGCCACCCACUCAACAAUGAGUCAACUAAUCAAUAGCUAUAAAUUUUGGCCUAUAAAAUGAGGCAUCUGCCAUGUAUUUAGGCAUCUUGGUUUUCAAAUCAAGAUCAAGAUCAUGCUCUUGCUCUCUCUUUAUAUUUUGUAAUGCUUAAGUUUUGCUUAUAUUAAUCUCUUGCUUAUGCUUUUCA